rnacentral:rRNA from 1 species
UACGAAGGGGGCUAGCGUUGUUCGGAUUUACUGGGCGUAAAGCGCACGUAGGCGGAUCGUUAAGUCGGGGGUGAAAUCCUGGAGCUCAACUCCAGAACUGCCUUCGAUACUGGCGAUCUUGAGUCCGGAAGAGGUGAGUGGAACUCCUAGUGUAGAGGUGGAAUUCGUAGAUAUUCGCAGGAACACCAGUGGCGAAGGCGGCUCACUGGUCCGAUACUGACGCUGAGGUGCGAAAGCGUGGGGAGCAAACAGG